UUUUUUUUUUUUUUUUUUUUAAUGUUGGUGCCUGUAUGACUAGACACAAGCCAUGGUGGGAAAGUGAUUUUUGGCUUGCUUUUGGUGCCUGUAUUUUUUCUGACUUGCUUAUGGAUACCUCUUUCUAUUCCUUUUCUCAUACAUAUGUAUUCUUGGAGUAUCAGGUUAUUAGAAAACCUGACACCCUUUCCCUUCAUUGAAAUGUAUUAAAAGUAGUGAUGCUACCAAAUCCUUAUGUUUGGAAAGCCAAGAAACUGGCAUGUGGAUGUGGGGCUUAGAAGUAGGGGAGAUGGAGGCUUAAGGUAGUCACCCCUCACCAGGUGGGUUAGAUGACUGGGUUCCCUUCCUGGACUUGCUCCGAAAAAUCUUAUUAAAUGUGACAUAAAUCACUAGUCUUUACUAUUGGCAUGCUUUUCAAGGAUGCUGCCUUUAGAAUUUUCCUUGCUGUGUUUAAAUGUUGAUCUACAGUUUAUUGUGUGGCCAUUGCAUAAUAGUUAAGUUGCAUAAUCUUUUUGUGUGGCAAUGUCCUGAGCUGGGUUCAAUAAUAGUACUACCUACCUCCCAUGGAGGUCAGGAGUAUCUUUAUCUGGGUCAUUGCCUUGGGCAGUGCCUGGUACCCAGUGAGCAUUCAGGAAGUGACUGCUGCCAUCACACAGCAGCAGCAGCAAAAGAUAAAGUUUUGCUCUGGAGUUAGACCUUGGGUUUGAAUCCUGGCUCAGCUGUUUCUAGUCCUGAGAUCCUGACUUUAUUUAUAUUCCUUUGCUACAAAAUUUCUGGGCAGUUCCUGUUGUUGUUCAGUGGUUACAAACCCGACUAAUAUCCUUGAGGACAUGGGUUCGAUCCCUGGCCUCGCUCAGUGGGUUAAGGAUCCGGCGUUGCCAUGAGCUGUGGUGUAGGUUGCAGAUGCGGCUCAGAUCCCGUGUUGCUGUGGCUCUGGCGUAGGCCAGUGGCUUCAGCUCUGAUUGGACCCCUGGCCUGGGAACCUCCAUAUGCUGUGGGUGCAGCCCUAAAAAGACAAAAAGUAAAAUAAGGGGGAAAAAACUAUAACGGCAAUGUAUACAUCUAAGGAUAACCUGAUCCCCUUGCUGUACAGUGGGAAAAUUAAAAAAAAAAAAAAAAAAGUAAAAUAAGAUAAAGUAAGAUUUUUGUGAGGGCUUAAAUAAAUCAUUAAUUAAGUGCUUGUAGCACAAUGUCUGGCUGAUAGUAAGCACUCAGUGAAGUCCAGUAAUAUUAUCGUUGGAGUGAAUUUCUGAUAAUCCCCUGCCUUUAUAUUUUAGGACUUUUCAACCCAUGGUGUUUGAGUUGCGAACGGCUCUGUUUAUGCGGGCGAAGAUGUUAUCACCAGACUACUCCCUCUCCACCCUGCAAAUUCAGAUUAGCUGUAGAAGAAGGGAGGGAAACUUGGUUUCUGAAAUGUCUGAGCUUGUUUGCCGAGGUCCUGUUCGACUCAGAUGAAGGGAAGAGAGCAGCGUGUGGUUACGCAGCCAUUCCAGGUGGGCUGAAGAGUACCUCUCCCCCUCCUGCUUAUGACAAGACUGCUGUGGUCAGAUGUUCAUAAGAAAGUAAAAAUUUUUACUUUCAUAUUUCCUGCUCUCAGUGAUGAAAAUAAAUUGAUAUUUUAUUUGUCUUCUUUUGAAGUUAAUGCAACAGAGCUAGCUUUUAUGACCUUUAAAAAAUGUUCCCAUGGUUUCUCUUGAAGACAGCUUUUCCCCAUUGCUUUUAAUCCUUUGAUAAUACAUUAAAUUCAUCUCCCUUUCUGGCAUGCACACAUUUCAAAUGUUUGUCCCUGACUCUGUCCUAUCUUAGAUAAACCUUGACCAAAUUAGUCAAAAACUCUAUAUUUAUUCAGUUUUCUCAAAACUGAAUUUAAUUUCCAACUCUAUAAUGCUUUUUAAAAUUCCUUCCCUUUAAGCUUAAAAAAAUUAUUUGUAGUAGGUUUUGCUGUCACGCAGUGCUUAUCAUUUAACGCAUGGGUUUUCAUGUGGUGUCUCAGAAAGGAUAUUUGCUGCCUCUUUCUGUCUUUCAUUUCCAUCCAGCGAGCGCAUCCUGGGUGGAUCACGUUUCAACAUAUUAUAUUCUCUGCAUAGCCAGACUUGUCGGUUUUGUAACAACAGACUUUUAUCUUAUUCAUGGAGUCCCUUCUAAACUGGGUCCUGGUCCUGUUCUGAGAGAUACAGUUGCACCCACUGAACAGUUUCUUAAUUUAGUCUAGUUUACUUUGCUGUCCAGGUGAUUUUGCAGGUUAAGAAUCUUUGACUCUUUCAGCUGCUACAUGCUAAGUGUGCCUGUUACACCCGGGGCUCGUUUAGUGAGAAGGUCCUCUCCGCAGUGCACUGUGUAACUGACACACCGCGUGUAGCUUGCCUAGUGCUUCUUAGCCAAUUGAGACAUUUUCCACGUAGCACGGUAGUCAUCUCCGAGUAGGGUGAACAGUGGCCACCCAAAGGCCUCAAGUCUUCAUUUCAGUGAUUUGUAAAUGUUUCUCUCUUCAGAUAAAGGGCCUGUAGAUGUAAGUAAGUUAAGGAUGUCAAGAUGGGGAGAUUACCCUGGAUUAUCCAAGUGAACCCUCUUUGCCACGAUGAGUGUCCUUGUGACAGAGAGCAGAGGGCAAUCACACAGAGAGAAGGCGACAUGAAGGUGGAGGCAGAGAUGAGAACAACACAGUGCAAGCCCUGGAAUGGCAGGGCAGCCACUAGCAGCGGGAAGGGGCAGGGUGGCCCUCCAGGAUCUCAGCCUCCUGACCCCAGAACUCAGAGGAUACAGUUCUGCUGUUUUAGGUUGCCAAGGUUGUAGUAAUUUGUUAUAGCAGCUUCAGGAAAUCUAAUACAUGUCUCUUCUUCUCUCGAUAUUUUCAUUCCAGCGUAGAUGCAGGAAAGAGGGUAUAAAUGAGAGAGAGGGAUGAUUUUUUUUGAGAUAUCAGUCUUUAUUAUAGACUCAGUGGUAUGGAACUGCAUAUGCAGCAAGUUAAUUGGACUCAUACUGCUGUAAAAAAAAAUCGUAAUUUAAGUGUAGUAUCUUUUUCUUUUGUCAGCAGUGGCUUGCCACUUAGAAGGUGAAACUGUUCAGGCAUGUGGUAUUGCAUGUUAGGGGCAGGAAGGAGGAGGGAGAGGAGGAAAAGAGGGUGAGAUGGAUGGUACAUCAGUUUCUGAAAGAUGGUGUUUCCACUUAUAUUUUGCUUUUCUUUUAAGUUGUAUGUUUAGGAUUGUAGCCCAUUUCCUUAAGGGGGCAGGAAGGCAGGGGCUGCCUCUCUAGAUCACGGCUGCCAUGUCCUCCUUGGACAUAGUAUGCAGAGGGUCCUGUCACCUGCCAGUCCUCUGCCAGGGAGAGUAGAAAGCAAGCAGCAGGGAGAAACCAAGGUGCUGUUGGCCAGGGUGGAGGCCAGAGGGAUGACUGCCUUUCUUUCCCAGAUACCUUACCCUGAUGGCAAAAAGCCAACUCUGAUUUAACCUGGACUGGGACAAAGGACUUUUUUCCUUUAGAGGGGUCUCUGGAGUUAAAUAUUAAAGGAAAAGGAGAGAAAGGAAAGGCAAAAG
rnacentral:lncRNA from 1 species